GAGGGUAUAGCUUAGUACAGAGUGUGUGCUUAGCAUUCAUGAGGUCUUGGGUUCAAUCCCCAGUACCUCUG
rnacentral:tRNA from 1 species